UCCCAGAAGUGGCCCACAUCUCUACAGCCAGAUACGGUAAAGAUGAAUUGGCCCAGUGCUUUACAGUCUUAACAAAACUGCAUGUGCCAGAGUGAGCCGCGGGCCACACUCGGCCCGGUUAACAAAUGCCAAUGCCGAUUCUGAGCCACAGGCUCCACGGAGCGAUUACUACAUGCUAUCUGGGUAGUUAUAUGUGAUAACAAUGUAUAUUGGGCAGUGAAAUAACUAUUGGUUUCGUUUGUGGUGACUGCUGACUGACAUAAGGGAUGAGAUUAAAUAGAUCCUGGAAUUUAGCCUGGUAUCCCUUAUCCUAGUUUUGUGCAAUAGGCCCCAGGUUAUUUCUUUUUCUUGUUUAUGGAUGUGUUUUGACCUUGGCCUAUAUAAUGGACUAUGUUUAUGGAUUACCUCUGGUUUUGUAGAUUUCCUUCGAUAUUGCGUUUUGGAUCUGCAUUCGUGUCUGGCCUGCCGAUAACAGGCUGGAACUCCACUCUACUAGUGAUGUUACGCACAUGCUCGAUUUGCAAUUUAAAAGGAGCCAUUUGGGCCAAGGUGUCACAUGCACAUGUGUGGACCUCUGAUGGCAGAAAAAAAACUCUUGGAAAUCCUCUGCGACCAACUGGAGGCAAUCCUGCCCCUCAGAUACACCAAUGACCUGGAUCUCUUCAGAAACUGGUUUGGCAUCAAGAAUCUAUAUUUAAUGGAAUAACAUAAAUGAAAUAGAUUACACUAACUGUUACAAAUAUCCACAAAUAAAAUUACAGUUGAACUUG